AGAAUCUUUCGCAAUGCCCGAAAGGGUGACGAAGCGACGCCGCGUGUGGGAAGAAGGCCUUCGGGUUGUAAACCACUGUCGGGAGUUAAGAAAUGUAAGGAUGUUAAUAGCGUCCUUACUUGACUAAGGCUCCGGAGGAAGCCACGGCUAAUUCUGUGCCAGCAGCCGCGGUAAUACAGAGGCGGCAAGCGUUGUUCGGAAUUAUUGGGCGUAAAGAGCACGUAGGCGGCCUUGAAAGUCAGUUGUGAAAGCCUUCUGCUUAACGGAAGAACAGCAUCUGAUACUACAGGGCUUGAGUGCGGGAGGGGAGAGUGGAACUUCUGGUGGAGCGGUGAAAUGCGUAGAUAUCAGAAGGAACGCCGGCGGCGAAAGCGGCUCUCUGGCUCGUAACUGACGCUGAGUGUGCGAAAGCUAGGGGAUCAAACGGGAUUAGAUACCCCGGUAGUCCUAGCCGUAAACGAUGGGCACUAAGUAGAGGGGUUUUGAUUAUCUCUCUGCCGGAGCUAACGCAUUAAGUGCCCCGCCUGGGAAGUACGGCCGCAAGGCUAAAACUCAAAAGAAUUGACGGGGGCUCGCACAAGCGGUGGAGCAUGUGGCUUAAUUCGAUGCAACGCGAAGAACCUUACCGGGGUUUGACAUGGUAGAAGUAGGAACCAGAAACGGUAACGAACGGUAUCCAGUCCGUAACUAUCACAGGUGUUGCAUGGCUG
rnacentral:rRNA from 1 species